ACGCCGUAAACGAUGCUAACUNGUUUUUGGAAUGUAAGUUUCAGAGACUAAGCGAAAGUGAUAAGUUAGCCACCUGGGGAGUACGAACGCAAGUUUGAAACUCAAAGGAAUUGACGGGGGCCCGCACAAGCGGUGGAUUAUGUGGUUUAAUUCGAUGAUACGCGAGGAACCUUACCAAGGCUUAAAUGGGAAAUGACAGGUUUAGAAAUAGACUUUUCUUCGGACAUUUUUCAAGGUGCUGCAUGGUUGUCGUCAGCUCGUGCCGUGAGGUGUUAGGUUAAGUCCUGCAACGAGCGCAACCCCUGUCACUAGUUGCCAUCAUUAAGUUGGGGACUCUAGUGAGACUGCCUACGCAAGUAGAGAGGAAGGUGGGGAUGACGUCAAAUCAUCACGGCCCUUACGCCUUGGGCCACACACGUAAUACAAUGGCCGGUACAGAGGGCAGCUACACUGCGAAGUGAUGCAAAUCUCGAAAGCCGGUCUCAGUUCGGAUUGGAGUCUGCAACUCGACUCUAUGAAGCUGGAAUCGCUAGUAAUCGCGCAUCAGCCAUGGCGCGGUGAAUACGUUCCCGGGCCUUGUACACACCGCCCGUCAAGCCAUGGAAGUCUGGGGUACCUGAAGUCGGUGACCGUAACAGGAGCUGCCUAGGGUAAAACAGGUAACUAGGGCU
rnacentral:rRNA from 1 species